rnacentral:lncRNA from 1 species
GUGAGAACCCAGAAAGUAUAUAUAUAUAAGAGAUUCAUUUCCUUGACAAUGUUAAGUUUGGUAAACAUAUAACGAAAACGUCAGCAUCGUAACAAAAUCAUCAUCAAUACUUGAAAUAGUUGUGAAAUAAUUGUUCAGCAUAGUGAAGAAAGCAUUUGUGAAUCAUUUAUCAACACCGGUAUCUUACUAUAUAUAUGUAUAUUUCCGAAUAUAAUUUUGUAUUUUUUUGCUGAAGUGACUUUCACUCGGUUUAGCUCGCAUUUUCGUCCGCCUGUCAAACAAGUCGUAACAACACCAAUAAGGCAGAGAAUACAUAAUGGCCAAUCCAAAGUGUUCUUAUUAUCCCGUCUUAAAGUGGUGUGAUUUAAGACCGCAACUUGGCAAACAAAGACCAAAAAAUAAAAUGGAACAUGUAAAGAGGAGCAAACUGUAAUUGUUUAAUGAGUGGCAGUGUUUCGGCCGCCCUUUUGACUUCCAUUUCUGCAAUAUGUUGGCCAAAAUUUGAAGCGACAGGACCAGCUGGCAUCUCGGGGGAAAAGUCUGGCAUGUGGCACGUGAGGCUCUAUUUAAUUUUCAUAAUUUUUCGACCAGCCCUGCAGGACACGCAAUUCAGUUUGUGUUAACACUCGAGCCAGUAGAGCUAUUUCCCUUUUCGGCUGGCAAUUGCUAUUGAUUAAAUCGGCUUAAAGCUUUGACUAAUGAUGACAGAAGAUUUGGACGGAGAACAUGAGGCGCUAGAGCGCAUAAUUCGUUAGUGGAAGCUGCCGAGUCAUGGGGCAACCGUUUCGGUGUCGAAAUGACCUGCAUCAAAUGUUUAGCCAUGAGAAAUCUCCAGUCAUUUGUAUUCGGGGGAUUUGCCGGCAAUUUGUGAGACGCGACUUUAAUUCGCUUAAUAAAUAUUUUCUUAGUUUCCCGGCGAGACCAGGUUUGGUCAGUGGAGGUAGAAAAUGGCAGGAGAAGGGCGAGAUCUUCUCCUUAAACACAAUGGACAAUUGUCAAUUGCAGGACAUUCUCUGGCAUUUGGGGGUGCUACACUUGAGUCCUCUGGGCAACGAUAAAUCAUUCCUUGAAUGUCACACUGCAAGAAUCAAAUCAUAAAUCACGACUCUAAAACGUUUCCUUUUGAACCAUUUAUUAGGAGAAUUGUUCAAAUGCCUUAAUUCUGUUGGUGUGCAAUUAAAUGAAAUAAAUAAAUUAACUAGUGAACAGUUCAAAGUAGAAUUUAUAUCUUGAUCUAGAAAAUUCAAGAGAUGGGUUUUUUUUAUUUCUUUCCGUGCUGGAUGACGACGAAACCAUCAGAGCCAGGAAGUGCCAGGACAUGCGGCCAGGAGGCAGUGCAGCUCUUCUUUUUGGCUGAUGAUGGACAUCUUGGGGCCAGGGACCUCUGCCGAAAGUCCUCCCUUCCUCGCUGGGAUAAUGAUGCGCAAAUCGCUGGCAGUCAUCGCCGGCUCAUCCUCCGAAUCCUCUCGGCUCUGGCCUGCUUUGUUUCAUGUUGUGGUGGCUUGCUUUUAGUUGCCUCUAUUAUCCUUAAUGCGAGUCACUUUGUUAGAAACGUCAGUGGGCCUGCAAGCAAGCGCCAUUAUCGUCAUCGAGCUGGCUGGCGAAAAAAUAUGAAUCGGAAAAUGUGCAGACACGCCGCCUGCCGUCGAAAAUGCACGGGAAUAAAGAUAAAAGAUGACAGGCGGUUCACAUCCAGUCAUUUAUAAUAGAGCCAAUAUGACCGCCACCGCAUGUGGCCGCGUCCUUCCAUUCCAGCAGUUUAUCAUCCUGGAGCUCCAGACCUGGAGCUCUACUUGGAAAUCCCACUUGGUUGGCCGGCUGGCUCAGAACCUAAUGAAAUAAUUGUUGUAAGCUAUUUACAAGCAUCUAAUUCCGAUUCGAUGGCAAGCCAAUAAAAAUAUGCCAUAAUUAUCCAAAGUCCAGGCUCUGGACGAGAUAAACCAGUCCUAGACGGCACAGGCUGCAAUGUUAAUGACAUAAUUUAAAAAGCAUUUCAUUAAUAGCCGAUGUCAGGGGCCCAGGAGUCUUCGAGGCAAUUAAGAUGCGCACAAAGAAAGCUUGUUUCAAGCCGAAUUGGAAAUUCAGAUGCUGGCCAGCCCAGAAUGUUAAUGGUAAUUAGAGCUGAUUCGCAUCGAAUAUGGCUAAAUAAGUUCGAGCGCUUUUUUAAUCAGUUCAACGCCAAGAAUUUGAAUUUAAAUUCUUGACUUUUUCAGCUAUAACCUCUUUAAAUAAAUUGACGGUUUCUUCCAAUCCAAAUACAAUAUUAUUUAGCAUUACAACAGGUAUUUUUUUUUACGUUUAUAAAGCAAUUUUCGGCAUUCGAGAAAUUACAUUUUCGAAAGUAAGCACCUAUGUUGAGCAUAGCAAUUAAGGCCACUAGUCGUUUUAAAAGAAAAUAGAUUUCUAAGGUCUUGGCGCACCCAGAUUUUUGUAUCUUUUAGCUGCGUUUAUCUUGAACUUUGGCAUCGUCUCCACGGCUACUGAAAUAUGUUUUGGCUAUGCAACCCCCGAUGUUCUGGCCAUGUCAAAUCAUUUGUAUAUAAUUCACAUCCUUUUGGAAUUCGGCCUUUGUGCCCAGUGGAGUGAUUUAUGGCCUGCUCUUCUUUCUGCCUAUUUCUGUUUGGAAAUGUUUCUGUGUAAAUAUGCCAGCAGCGGGACACAUUCCAAAUUGGUCCGUGCAAAUUGCUGGCCUCAGCACUAUUAUCCUUUUCGCAGGAUGUCGCCGCUGCUCGCUUUUUAGAUAAUUGCUGACUUCUACCAUUUCGACUGGUGAGUUAUUCGAUUUCUAUACUAAAAUUUGAUAUUCCGACCACAUGCUGUGAUUAAAUGGUGGAUGCCAGCUCCUUCUGCCUCAAGUCACUUCUCCAAAAACAUGUAUUGUAAUUGAAAAUAGUUUUUGGCACUGAUCAGAGUGCCCAACUUUGUCAAGAGGCGUGACUGCGAUUGCAAUUGAUAAUUCGAGUUUUAGAUACGAAAAGGACCUAAAGUUGAGAAACAUUAUCUGUGGGAGAAUGCUAGGAACAAGUUCAUCGACUAACAGAUACCCAGCUAGUGGAAGUGCGAAGAAGUUUCGAAUAAUUUGCUAUUUCGAGAAAAAUUGCC